rnacentral:rRNA from 1 species
UCUCGCCUGCCAGUGAUAUCUAUUUAACGGCCGCGGUACCCUAACCGUGCAAAGGUAGCGUAAUCACUUGCCCCCUAAAUAGGGGCCUGUAUGAAUGGCUAACUGAGGAUACACCUGUCUCUUAGGACAAAAUAGUGAACCUGAUCUUCUAGUACAAAAGCUAGAAUAACCACAUAAGACGAGAAGACCCUGUGGAGCUUCAACCGCUGCCGUUAACAAUCCAAUAAAUCACCAGGACUGAUUUAACGACAACUUUUAGUUGGGGCAACUAUGGAACACAACAAAACUUCCACGUACCGACUAACCAUCCCCCAGGCCAACCAGCCAAAAUCGCCAAGACCCAGUAUAACUGACCACCGAACCAAGUUACCCCAGGGAUAACAGCGCCAUCCUCUUUCAGAGCCCCUAUCGCCAAGAGGGCUUACGACCUCGAUGUUGGAUCAGGACACCCCAGUGGCGCAGCCGCUACUAAAGGUCCGUUUGUUCAACGGUUAAUGUCCUACGUGAUCU